UGGGGAAUAUUGCUCAAUGGGCGCAAGCCUGAUGCAGCCAUGCCGCGUGUAUGAAGAAGGCCUUCGGGUUGUAAAGUACUUUCAGCGAGGAGGAAGGCGUUGUGGUUAAUAACCGCAACGAUUGACGUUACUCGCAGAAGAAGCACCGGCUAACUCCGUGCCAGCAGCCGCGGUAAUACGGAGGGUGCAAGCGUUAAUCGGAAUUACUGGGCGUAAAGCGCACGCAGGCGGUCUGUCAAGUCGGAUGUGAAAUCCCCGGGCUCAACCUGGGAACUGCAUCCGAAACUGGCAGGCUAGAGUCUUGUAGAGGGGGGUAGAAUUCCAGGUGUAGCGGUGAAAUGCGUAGAGAUCUGGAGGAAUACCGGUGGCGAAGGCGGCCCCCUGGACAAAGACUGACGCUCAGGUGCGAAAGCGUGGGGAGCAAACA
rnacentral:rRNA from 1 species